AGCUAAUAAACUAAAUAGUUAGGUUUAUAUUUCGAUUAUAAAUUUUAGGUAAGUGCCUUAUUAGUUG
rnacentral:tRNA from 1 species